GGCCCGCGGGCCCCGCGACCCGUCCCCGCAGCGCCGAGCCCGGCCCGGCCUCCCCACGGCUGCAGCACCGGGAGCGCGGCCGCUCCAGCCCGGCUGCCACCGCGGGCCGGGAGGAGUUCAGGCCCGGAGCCCAGAGGCCCCUCAGCUCAGGCCCUGCACGGCGCUGCUGCCUGACGGGGCCUCCGCCUCGGCCCCGAGGGGUUAGUAACCCCACAGCAAAGGCACAAAGCCCUCUUUUCUGAUCAAGCCUCAGUGGCAGGGGAAACGGCCUCAGUGACCGAGCAAAGGUCACAGGCUCAGAGGCAAUUGCUCCUGACCUUUAAAACCAACUCGGGAAUAGGUACGGGCUGUACUAAGGGACAGGUGAGUACCUGUCAAGCAGGAGGGGAUUCUAGAUCUUAUUUCAUCCAUGCACUGCAUCAAAAGCUGUUUCUACAUCGUUAAUGUGCCUAUAAAAACAUGGCAAUUCCCAAAAGAGUUGCAGAUGAGCCGUUUCAUGUCAUGCAUCGACAAGAAAGAGCUGGCAGUAUAUUAAAGAUUUUAGAAGAAUGAAUUUUGUAAGGCAGUCAGGGGAAACCAGUAGCAGAGAAACGGAGUUCAUGCAAAAAUGAGAGUACACAGCAGAUACGCACACGGUAAACUUCAUUUGAACUUGUUUACAAAAUUGACAAAAAAAAAUAUCACCUUGUAAACUUAUUCACAUUUGUUGGAGCUCACAGAACUGGUUAUACUUGCAUGCUGAAAUAAAGAUUGUCAAGCCUCAUCUCAGCCCGGAUGCCGUCCAGGUGAGCCGACCCUUACAGCAGAAACGAACUCGGCGUGGAACAAGAGUUAAAGCUUGCACUGAGUGAACUUCUCCAGCGACUCCGCACCCCCAGGGCCAGGGCCGGCUCUGAUUCCCGACGCUCCCUCGAGCACAGCGAGCACCAGCAGGUCGGGCUGCCCAGAGCUGGACGGCGUUUGAAAGCGGCAACAAACUUGGGGCGUCACCUCGCGGAGCUGGGGCCGCGAGGGCCAGCGCUGGCAUCGGAAAUCUCUAGGACACACUGCUUGACCUCAGCAACUUUCAGAAGGACAGAAUGGAAGUAAACUGAAAAUACACUUGGAAACAUUGUUUUUGGUAAGCACUUUUUCUGCUUUCACUCUCAGACCUCAGAUUUCAGAAAUGGAAGCAAACAGACAUCAGUGAAGAUUUCUGAGACACCCACACAUUUCAGUACAGGUCAGAUCACAAAAGCAGGAGGUUUGAACAAAGAAUGACUUAAAAAAUAAACCAAACUUUAUCAGUUGUAUUCCAGGGAAUGAACCACCUUAAUGCACGCCUGGUGCUGAACACGCUUGUGAAGCCGUGCAGGAGCCGACGCCGCGCUCACAGGCAGAGCUUUGCCAGGGCUGCUCUCCAGAGGCGAAAUCCAGCACCAACGGGUUAACAGACUUAACAGCACUAAACCUAGAAAUAGUUUUUGGUAUCGUGUCCCCUGGACAGAAACCCAACACCGGGGACUGCGGAAAACAACUCGUCCCAACUGUUAAAGCCAUUACAGUUAAUAGAAAUUCCAAGCUUUCUAUACUGAACCAGGCUGCUUUAGAAAGCAUUUUAACAAUUCCGAAUAAUAUAUUACAAACUUACUGAGAAAAAAAGAUGAACUGGUAUCUUUUUGAGGUACAUGAACAGCAACUUUUAUCAGUCUCCAGACCCUGGAUGCAACCAGAGCGUGAAAAAACCAACAAAAAUCCAACCUGUGCGACUGCAUUAGCACCGAGGGACUUGGAAGACACGGCGCACGGAGGGGACUCGGCUUCGCCGGCUGCUCCGACGGACUCUCGGUGGCGCCGAUCGCUUAGAGUUGGUCUGAACUGAGCAAACUUUAAAAAACAAAUGAGUUUAAGUAUAAAUAAUUCACAAACUGC